rnacentral:tRNA from 1 species
GCGCAUUUGGAGAUGAAGCUAAUCACGAGGGAUUUAGAAUCCGUUUCUUUUGGUCAUUGGUUCAACUCCAAUAAUGAGCA